rnacentral:rRNA from 1 species
CGGGUGAGUAACACGUAUCCAACCUGCCGUCUACUCUUGGACAGCCUUCUGAAAGGAAGAUUAAUACAAGAUGGCAUCAUGAGUCCGCAUGUUCACAUGAUUAAAGGUAUUCCGGUAGACGAUGGGGAUGCGUUCCAUUAGAUAGUAGGCGGGGUAACGGCCCACCUAGUCUUCGAUGGAUAGGGGUUCUGAGAGGAAGGUCCCCCACAUUGGAACUGAGACGCGGUCCAA